UACGUAGGGGGCAAGCGUUGUCCGGAAUUAUUGGGCGUAAAGAGCGCGUAGGCGGUCCGAUAAGUCGGCUGUGAAAGUCAGGGGCUCAACCCUUGAAAGCCGGCCGAUACUGUCGGACUAGAGUCCGGAAGAGGCGAGUGGAAUUCCCGGUGUAGCGGUGAAAUGCGCAGAUAUCGGGAGGAACACCAAUGGCGAAGGCAGCUCGCUGGACGGUACUGACGCUGAGGCGCGAAAGCGUGGGGAGCAACAGGAUUAGAAACCC
rnacentral:rRNA from 1 species